CGUCUUCGUGUGUGGCCCGGCCGGCCGCGGGUCGCGCGUUUCGUGCUUCCGUGGCAUUCGCAAUGUUCGUUUCGCGACGUUUGCAGACACUCGCGAACGAUCGCGGUGGAUGUUGAGGUCGCCGACGUCGCGCGUGUGUGUGGGUCCUUUCCACUCUGCACGUCCAUCGACGACGAUUCGAAGAAGGACCGUCUCUCUUUUUCUCUGCCACUCCUGCCAAGGAAGCGUUCGGGCGUGCGAGAGAUCGUGAUCCCGUUGUGCCUUCGAAGCUUGGCUUCUCUCGACUAUGAGAUGUGCAAUGCGUUAAUGGAACUGGUAUCGCCGAUGGUGCCACUCAUUCACGCCAGCACUUCUUGGAUUAUUCGUAUGCAUAAGUACUACCAGUCUGAUUCGGACCGUUUUCAUGCGACAUAUCCGGCAGAGGUGUAACAGCAAUAAGAGCAGCAGCAGCUACGACGAUCUCAGCAACAAUUGCAGCAGAUAAGACUUCUAUUUCUAGUAGCUUUGGAGAGUGCACAAAUCAAAGAUUCUUUUUUCCAUCCUGAGAAAAAUGAGACUUACGGAGCUUACAGUAAUGUUACACUCAAUUACGAGGACUACGAAAGUUUUGAGCAUUUGUCUAUAUAUAUUGGAUGCUGAAACUGAAACAGUGACAUUGAAGACUAAUCAAAACAAUUUAUAUGGCCAGAUUCUAACUUGUAUGAGCGUCCGUGACGCUUGUGUUACAUGAAUUUUUGACAAAGUGAAAUUUCUCGGUUUUCACAAGCUCCUCUUUCGUUUUGAGAUCGCACCUCGACAGGAUCGUCGGCAUGGGAAACGUUUUCGCAAAGAUCAGAGCUGGUCUUCUGAUCACGGUAUUUGGACUACGAGGUUACAGGUAACUUCUCCGAGCGGCGAGGAUCGAUGAUAUCGAUGAUAUCAUAAUUAUAUUUAAAAAAUGCCUUUACGGCAUGUUUAUACGUGCGAAAUUUAACGUACACGUUACCCUUUAAAGCGGGUUGUGUAUUCUUCGCGCAGCAAAAUCUUUCAACUUCACCACUCUCACUUAGUUCAUGACUCUCGCUGUUUAGCGUCCAAGAGUCUUCUUUUAUCAAGCAUAACGUUUCUUCGUGUUUUUCCCAAAUGUAUAACGCGUCAAUGGAACAGGUAUCGCCGAUGAUUUCACUCAUUCACGCCAGCACUUCUUGGAUUAUUCGUAUGCAUAAGUUCUACCCGUUUGGUUCGGACAGUUUUCAUGCGACAUAUCCGGCAGAGGCGUAACAGCAAUAAGAGUAGCAGCAGCAGCAGCUACGACGAUCAGUAACGAAAGCCGCUAAUUUGGAAAAAGGCUGAGAAAAACUCCAUUCCUUCGAGAGCAGCAAUAGCGGCAGUAACACCAAGCUCACUCGUUGGUGAGUCUGACUAAUAGGUUUUCUGUAAUUAUUUGUAAUUUUAAUAUGUGUAUCAGUUGCAAUAUCCAUCCAACCGUUUUGAAGACGUAUCGGUACCUUUCUCCGUAUAAUUUUCUCACAGGCAUAAUUUUUUUCCAAUCUUUAUGUCGCCUGAAUUUUUUGAGCUGCAUAAAAACUUUGUAUUCUUGCACUCGUAUAAAUUCAUAAUCUUAUAUUAAAAGACACAAUGGCACAAAUGAUUAAUUCUGAUCUUUAUAAUUUUUUCUCUUUAAAAUCUUUAAAAUUUAUAAAAUAUUUACUAAUAUAAAGUGAGUGUUCUUCUUCCGAGCACUAAUAAUAAUUAACAUGGAAUGGUUAAAUUUUGUUUCACACCUGUCCGAUAGGUUUAAUGUUUUCUGGAUAUCUUAGUGAACUUAUAGAUUCUUUUAAAGGUGAUAAAUUAACAAUCAUAAUUUGUUUUUUUAGGGUUACUAGGCGAUGUGUUAUCUUCCUGUAACCAUAUUUUCAGUUUUUCUUUUGAUCUCGUUAUUGAUUUAGGUUUGAUAAUAAAUAAUUAAUAAAUAAUAAAUAAUUAAUAAUAAAUAAUUAAUAUAAUUAAUAAAUAAUUAAUGAAUUAUUAAAUUAGGUCAAAGGCUAGAGAAGUUAGCCUUUUAUGGUGUUUUCAAUUUUUCUUUUAAUCUCGUAUUGAAACUGGGCGAGUUUUUGUAUUUCUUAGUUUGUCCAAGUUGAACUUUUUAUGAUUGUAUUAUGUCUUAUAUAUAUUAUGUAUUAUGGUAUAUUUUGUUAUUUUACGGUACCCCUUCUACUACAAAUUGAAUUAAAGAAAUAUGUCUUCAAAUACGGUGCGCAGAUCGUGUAUGGUUGGAUAUUGUAACGAUAAGAAUUUCACACACCGACACCCGUAUCGUCUCUUAUAGGCAAUUACUUCACUAUAUUUUUUACUCUUGUGAAAUUACUUUUCACUGUUAAUAUGAAUACUGUUAUAAUGAAUUAUUUCUUACCGUCAAAAAAUUUUCACUGAUAAAAAAUUUAGAAUGUAAUUACCGACGAGAUACUAUUAAAGACCGACACUCUUACGGGAGUUAGCGUGGCUGUUUAGUAAUUGCUAAAAGUCGAUAACAUCGACACUCUACAAUUACCUCCGGGUCCUUUGGCCGGCACGAAAAUUUGCCCAGGGCUGACGGUCUUUAACAGUAUCUCGUCGGUGGUAUAAUACAAUGUAAUGCAAUGUUCAGGCUGUAUAGCCCCUGGUGGGGGCGGAAGAAGAAGAUGUAAUAUAAUGUAAUUAUAUGUAAUAAUUAUAUGUAAAAUGUUAUACAAUGCAAUUAUAU